rnacentral:rRNA from 1 species
GACGAACGCUGGCGGCGUGCCUAAUACAUGCAAGUCGAGCGGGCCUCCGGAGGUGCUUGCACCUCCGGAAGGCCAGCGGCGGACGGGUAAGUAACACGUGGGCAACCUGCCUUUGAGGCCGGGAUAACACCGGGAAACCGGUGCUAAUACCGGAUGCGUCCCCUUUCGCGCCUGCGAGAGGGGAGAAAGACGGUCUUUAAGGCCGUCGCUCAAAGAGGGGCCCGCGGCGCAUUAGCUGGUUGGUGGGGUAAGGGCCUACCAAGGCGACGAUGGGGUGCCGGCCUUAGGGGGGGAUCGGCCACACUGGGACUGAGACACGGCCCAGACUCCGGCGGGAGGCAGCAGUAGGGAAUCAUCCGCAAUGGGCGAAAGCCUGACGGUGCAAAGCGGCGUGAGUGAGGAAGGUUUUCGGAUCGUAAAGCUCUGUUGUGAGGGAAGAACAGCUUCCGGAGGAAAUGCCGGAGGUUUGCCGGUACCUCACCAGAAAGCCCCGGCUAACUACGUGCCAGCCGCCGCGGUAA